rnacentral:misc_RNA from 1 species
GAUGAAGAACGCAGCGAAAUGCGAUAAGUAAUGUGAAUUGCAGAAUUCAGUGAAUCAUCGAAUCUUUGAACGCACAUUGCGCCCGCCAGUAUUCUGGCGGGCAUGCCUGUUCGAGCGUCAUUACAACCCUCAGGCCCCCGGGCCUGGCGUUGGGGAUCGGCGGAGCCCCCCGUGGGCACACGCCGUCCCCCAAAUGCAGUGGCGGUCCCGCCGCAGCUUCCAUCGCGUAGUAGCUAACACCUCGCGACUGGAGAGCGGCGCGGCCACGCCGUAAAACACCCAACUCUUCUGAACGUUGACCUCGAAUCAGGUAGGACUACCCGCUGAACUUAAGCAUAUCAAUAAGCGGAGGA